UACGAAGGGGGCUAGCGUUGCUCGGAAUCACUGGGCGUAAAGCGCACGUAGGCGGCUUUUUAAGUCAGGGGUGAAAUCCUGGAGCUCAACUCCAGAACUGCCUUUGAUACUGAGAAGCUUGAGUCCGGGAGAGGUGAGUGGAACUGCGAGUGUAGAGGUGAAAUUCGUAGAUAUUCGCAAGAACACCAGUGGCGAAGGCGGCUCACUGGCCCGGUACUGACGCUGAGACGCGAAAGCGUGGGGAGCGAACAGG
rnacentral:rRNA from 1 species